rnacentral:rRNA from 1 species
UGACCUCAAAUCAGGUAGGAUUACCCGCUGAACUUAAGCAUAUCAAUAAGCGGAGGAAAAGAAACUAACAAGGAUUCCCCUAGUAACUGCGAGUGAAGAGGGAAAAGCUCAAAUUUAAAAUCUGGCAGU